rnacentral:rRNA from 1 species
UUGUAGUCUGCAACCCGACUACAUGAAGCUGGAAUCGCUAGUAAUCGCGGAUCAGAAUGCCGCGGUGAAUACGUUCCCGGGUCUUGUACACACCGCCCGUCACACCAUGGGAGUCGGAAAUGCCCGAAGUCGGUGACCUAACUGAAAGGAAGGAGCCGCCGAAGGCAGGUCUGGUGACUGGGGUGAAGUCGUAACAAGGUAGC